rnacentral:rRNA from 1 species
UACGUAGGGUGCGAGCGUUGUCCGGAAUUAUUGGGCGUAAAGAGCUUGUAGGCGGUCUGUCGCGUCUGCUGUGAAAAUCCGGGGCUCAACCCCGGACUUGCAGUGGGUACGGGCAGACUAGAGGUAUGCAGGGGAGAACGGAAUUCCUGGUGUAGCGGUGAAAUGCGCAGAUAUCAGGAGGAACACCGAUGGCGAAGGCAGGUCUCUGGGCAUUAACUGACGCUGAGGAGCGAAAGCAUGGGGAGCGAACAGG